ensembl:lncRNA
GUGUGCUGAGUCAUUGGGUAGUAACAGGGCUGUGUGGUGGUGUGCUGGGUCAUUGGGUAGUAACAGGGCUGUGUGGUGGUGUGCUGGGUCAUUGGGUAGUAACAGGGCUGUGUGGUGGUGUGCUGGGUCAUUAGGUAGUAACAGUGCUGUGUGGUGGUGUUCUGGGUCAUUGGGUAGUAACAGGGCUGUGGGGUGGUGUGCUAAGUCAUUGAGUAGUAACAGGGCUGUGGGGUGGUGUGCUGAGUCAUUGAGUAGUAACAGGGCUGUGGGGUGGUGUGCUGAGUCAUUGAGUAGUAACAGGGCUGUGGGGUGGUGUGCUGAGUCAUUGAGUAGUAACAGGGCUGUGGGGUGGUGUGCUGAGUCAUUAGGUAGUAACAGGGCUGUGUGGUGGUGUGCUGAGUCAUUAGGUGGUGUGCUGAGUUACUCUGUGUAGAUGAUGACUGUUGAUUGAUGUG